GAAAAACCUUACAAUGCACUGCUCCAAAUUAUUACGCACAGUAAGUUUCAAAACACUUUACAGGUUAUAAAGAACUGAAAACGGCCAUUUAUUGUGUUUGCAGCAUAUUUACUGAAAUCAAAAGCUAUUUCAAUCAAACUUAUAACAACAAUUUAACUUUUUAAACAUUUUAACAGGUCACGUUACAUUUUAACAUAAGACCCUUCAUUUAAUAGCAGCUUCACAAGUCUUGCAUCCAUUGAACUUGUGAGUUUUUGGACAGUUUCUGCUUGAAUUUGUUUGCAAGAUGUCAGAAUAGCCUCCCAGAGCUGCUGUUUGGAUCUAUACUGCCUCCCACCCUUGUAGAUCGUUUGCUUGAGGAUGCUCCAAAAGUUCUCAAUAGGAUUGAGGUCAGGGGAGGAUGGAGUCCACACCAUGACUUUCUCUCCUUUUAUCCCCAUAGCAGAAAUUGAUGAAGAGGUAUUCUUUGCAGCAUAAGAUGGUGCAUUGUCAUGCAUGAAGAUGAUUUUAUUAUGGAAAGCAUAGUUCUUCCUUCUGUACCAAGGAAGAAAGUGGUCAGUCAGAAACUCCACAUACUUUGCAGAGGUCAUCUUUACACCUUUGGGGACCCUAAAGGGGACGACCAGCUUUCUUCCCAUGAUUCCGUCCCAAUACAUGACUCCACCACCGCCUUGCUGACGUCGCAGCUUUGUUGGAACAGGGUGGUCGUCCACCAACCAUCCAUCUGGACCAUCCAGGGUUGCAUGGCACUCAUCAGUGAACAGGACUGUUUUGAAAAUUAGUCUUCAUGUAUUUUCUUGUGAGCAUUGGUUAGUGGUGGUCAAAUAGAAGGUUUAUGCACAGUUGCAAGACUCUGGAGGACUCUACACCUUGAUAUCCGUGGGACUCCAGAGGCACCAGCAGCUUCAAAUAUCUGUUUGCUGCUAUGUAAUGGUAUUUUAGCAACUGCUCUCUUGAUCCGAUGCAUGGAUCUGGCAGAAAUCUUCCUCAAUGUGCCUUUAUCUGCAUGAACUCGUCUGUGCUCUGAAUCAGCCACAAGUUUUCAUGAAAUAUCUAAUGUUUUCAUACCUCGUCCAAGGCAUUGAACUAUUUAAUUAUUUUUGGCAGCAGAAAGAUCCUUUUUCUUCCCCAAAUUACAUGAAAAUGGGCUCUUAAUAAUGUGGAACACCCUCUUUUAGAAGUUUUUCCUUAAAUUGGACUCACCUUGCAAUUUAAUUAUCACAGGUGUCCGAGAUUGUUUUCAGUGAUCAAAAGAGCCCUGAGACACAAUGCCAUCCAUGAGUUAAACUGAAAAACAAAAUAUUAAAUCUUUGUGACACAAAUAGAAUUUGCAUAAUAAUUUGGAACAGGAUGUAUAGAAGAAAUUGGUAACAAACUUGCUCUGAUCUUCAGCUCUUUGUAGCAUUAAAAACCGUGGUUAUGAAAGCAUUAUUUGUUGUAAUAUUGAUGUUGCAUUCCCUUUAAAACACACAAAUAGUCCAGGUUUUGUCAGUGCCUAAAACCUGGGCUGUUUGAUGUCCCUUGUGGACAGUAUGGGGAACACCCGACCUAGAUAACAGACAUUAGGGGAUAUUUAUGGUGACUUUGGUGCAAAGAGAUAAAUGCUGAGAUACAUUAUAUUGAUUUUCAUGGGGAUUACUACAUAUUCAGCACUUUACCUCAUAUGGUACCUGUUUUUGUCCCACUUUGCCCCAAUAGUACCUGUUUUUCCCUUGAUAAAUCUUAUCCUAUGUUUUUUAUUCCUUAUUAUAUGUGGAUGUCUUCCAACAUGUGUGCCAUUUUUUGCUUUCUAUAUUGUACUGUAUAUUUCUUAUGUUAAAUUUACUAUAAAAAAAUGCCCACAGACAAGAUCACUAUAUUCACUGUUCCUUUUCUUUCUCGGUGUAAAACCAAUUAAUUUAGGCUGUUUUGUUUGUACAGAUCCAAACCUCACCCACUCUCUGUCGAUAAUAGUAGGACCGUAGAGCAAUAAACUCAAGGCUUUUCACACGGGUCACUGUUGGCAGCCUUCAAACAUUACAGAACGCAAUUCUUUUGCAUAAAAUAAGUCAUUAGCACGAUAACGCAGUUGCCAAUUAU
rnacentral:lncRNA from 1 species